GACCGGGGAGGGGGCGAGAGUCGCGAAGCAAAAGGCCCCUUCCCAGCUCUCCCCCCUCCUCCGAAACUGGCUCCCCUUCCCUCUCCCCUUCUCCCCCAUCUCCUCCUGUUGUGUUUUAAAGCUCCACCAACAUCUUUUCUAAGCCAGCCCUGUGUGUCAGCAUGGGGGCAGGAGAGGCAUCCUCUCACAGCUGGUGCUUCCCGCAUGAACUUCGAGUAUCCAGAAAUGCCACGGAGGAGGAUUCCUACCACUGCCACGUGCUUCAGUAGUGGGCAAUAGCAGUGAGUAUGAAUGUGGUUUAUUUUUCUCCAUAAAGCUGCACUUCAGCUCACUCACACCUUUGCAGAAACAGAGGGUACGGACACACACAUGCAUCUCCUCAGAUAACCACGUUUCACAUUACCCUUGCUGAAGCAGUGUGGGAGGAAGCAGAGAAGUGAAGGCUAUCAAAAGAGAGGAGGUCAGAGAAGUAGGAAAGAAUGGUCAUGAAACUGCCCUCACCUUGUUGGCACACAUGCCUGUGACUGACCUGCAUGUAUGCAUGUGGGGUUGGGCCAUAUGCUUGACUGGAGCAUUCCUCAUCGUUCCUCCCUUGUGAUCAUUGCCUGUAAGCAUCAUAUGUGCUCAGCACUCACCUCCUGCCUCUCAGCACCCUGAACCAGGGUCAGAGUGCUCAGCACUCUUGCUAGCAAGGGAUGUAGUGUUCUAAACCAGCAGCAGGAUGUUUGCCCCAGUGUGUGUACUGCAGGCUGUGCUCCGUGUGUGUACUCGUGUGCAGGCACACGUGUGCAGGUGUGCAUGUGUGUGUUAUGUGAGCAUGUCUCCCUUGGCAGCACAAUGGAAGAGCAAAGUGUAAUAUGCUCCCGCUGUGGCUUCGUGGAUGAAUUGUCUACAAAGGGCUCUUCAAGCUGAACACACACCGCAAAGGCGCAUGGCACUUCUCCGGGUGAACAAUGGCUGGGGCUGAGAGGCAGUGCUGCUGAGAAGCAUCCCUACACUGCCUGUCAAGGGGAAAGGGCUUGUGAUUUACCCCUGAAACAGCAUUUAUAAAUGAAUUCCUGGGAUCACUGUGGGAUCAGGGGCAUGGGAAAGAAGAGGAAAGGGAGGACAGGGAUGAAAUAC
rnacentral:lncRNA from 1 species